AAACCAUGGUGUGGGCAUUGAGCUUGGUAGCCCUUGAAUCUCUCCCAGGCUUCACUGAAGCCUUCCAAGUUCUUCUGUUGAAAGAUGGAAAUCUCAUUUCUCAGCUU
rnacentral:snoRNA from 1 species